CAGCAGCCGCGGGAAUACGUAGGGUGCAAGCGUUAAUCGGAAUUACUGGGCGUAAAGCGUGCGUAGGUGGUGGUUUAAGUCAGGGGUGAAAUCCCGCAGCUCAACUGCGGAACUGCCUUUGAUACUGGGUAUCUUGAGUAUGGAAGAGGUUAGUGGAAUUGCGAGUGUAGAGGUGAAAUUCGUAGAUAUUCGCAGGAACACCAGUGGCGAAGGCGGCUAACUGGUCCAUAACUGACGCUGAGGUGCGAAAGCGUGGGGAGCAAACAGGAUUAGAUACCCGCGUAGUCCCUGUCUCUUAUAC
rnacentral:rRNA from 1 species